UACGUAGGGCGCAAGCGCUGUCCGGAAUUAUUGGGCGUAAAGAGCUCGUAGGCGGCUUGUCACGUCGGGUGUGAAAGCCCGGGGCUUAACCCCGGUUCUGCUUCCGGUACGGGCAUGCUGGAGUGUGGCAGGGGAGACUGGAAUUCCUGGUGUAGCGGUGGAAUGCGCAGAUAUCAGGAGGAACACCGGUGGCGAAGGCGGGUCUCUGGGCCAUUACUGACGCUGAGGAGCGAAAGCGUGGGGAGCGAACAGG
rnacentral:rRNA from 1 species